rnacentral:lncRNA from 1 species
CGAUGCUUUCUACCCUGGAUCAGCUCCCACACAGAAUCAGUCACAGAGCAUCGCGAAUACGAUCAGUACCUACCAGAAUUUAAUAAUCCACUUCGGUAACGGGACUAACAUCUCAUCCCUCGUGGUUUCCACGAAUGAACUUCCGAUCCCUCUCGAUCCUCUUUCUGAAACUAUUGAAGGUCUACCCACGUCCUCCGCUUGGCCAUUCAGCACGUCACAAAGCCUCAUCUCGCACCCAACAUCAUCUUCAGUCAUCAACCCAGCCGUGACACCAGCCCCGGAGCCAGAUAUUACUACUGAACCUGCGCUGUACCCAACGCCCUAUACUAACGAAGCAAUAGCAGCGACUUGCGCGGGAGUUACAUCCUCAGCUGCUGAAGUGGAAACGUCUGCAUCGUUGAGUGGUGGAGGCUCCACCGAUCAAGUCACUCCGACUGUGUACACAUGCCACGAGUUCGGGCGUGAGCUCACCGUCAACUUCGUGAACCCUUCGCAUCCGCAGCUGGACACAGGCACUG